rnacentral:lncRNA from 1 species
UACAGAUUGAUUGCUUUUCUGCCUUCAAGAAGUCCUCUUUGUGCCAGGCAUGGUGACAUUUGCCUGUAAUUCCAGCAUCUUGGGAGGCUGAGGCAGGAGGAUCAGCAAGACUCUGCCUCAAAAUAAAAAAUGAAAAAGGGGUAUGAUAGUUAACUCUUGUGUCAACUUGAGUGAGACACGUCCGACUAAUCAGAUUAGCACAGGUCUAGGAGCAGCUAAAUAGAUCUACUGAAGACAGAAGACCCACCUUGGCUGUGAGUGGCACCAACCAAUAGGCUUGUAGCCUGGCUAGGACAAAAGGGGAACAAGAAGGAAGGCUCACUUCCAUUUCUUCAGAGGAGUUCCAGUCUUCGCCUUCACUUUGGACCCAUCUCCUGCCUUCCAACACAGACUCUUCAGCUUCAGGGACUCACAUGGGACUACAUGAGCUCCAGGCCUUGUAUGUUUGAUUGGAUCCUUCAGAUUUCCAGCAUACAGACAGCCCUUUCGCACUCUGCAGGUGGCCAUGCAGGGAUCUGACAAUUAUAAACAUGCAGCUGUGACAACUCAGACCCUCAAGCAGAGCAGUGGGAAUGGAUCUGGGCUCUGCAGGAGUGGAGUGGACCUCCUGCAAACUUCCCAUCUCUCAGGUAAGCCAAGUGCUCCCAGUGGACACAGCUGGUUAUCUGGGACAGUCAGUGAAUUCCUCAGUGGAAACCUCUGCCAGUGUUAUUCUGAGAGGCUGUGGCAGGAGGAUCAAAAGCUCGAGCUCAGCCUGAGCAACUUCACAGCUUAGUGGGACCCUAUUUUAAAAUUUAAAAGGACUGGGGAUGUAGCUCAGUGAAGGCCCUAGGUUCAAUCUCCAGUACACCCAUACACACACACAAACACAAAAGGAGAAGAAAGAAAGAAAAGAAGGAAGGAAGGAAGGAAGGAAGGAAGGAAGGAAAAAGGAGAAGAGAAAAUAAGCAAAGAGAGGGUCC